GACCCAAUGGCACAGUGGUUAAUGCGCCUGCUUGUGCUUAUAUUCAACAAUUGUUUGUCCUCGGUAGGAGGCCCUCGUUCGAACCGGGGUUGGGUUA